rnacentral:rRNA from 1 species
GGCGUGCUUAACACAUGCAAGUCGAACGGUGAUGAUGGGGCUUGCCCUGUCUGAUCAGUGGCGAACGGGUGAGUAACACGUGAGUAACCUGCCCCUGACUCUGGGAUAACCGUGGGAAACGACGGCUAAUACCGGAUAUGAGACGCCCACGCAUGUGGAGCGUCUGGAAAGAUUUAUUGGUCUGGGAUGGACUCGCGGCCUAUCAGCUUGUUGGUGGGGUAAUGGCCUACCAAGGCGACGACGGGUAGCCGGCCUGAGAGGGCGACCGGCCACACUGGGACUGAGAUACGGCCCAGACUCCUACGGGAGGCAGCAGUGGGGAAUAUUGCACAAUGGGCGAAAGCCUGAUGCAGCGACGCCGCGUGGGGGAUGAAGGCCUUCGGGUUGUAAACCCCUUUCAGCAGGGAAGAAGCGAAAGUGACGGUACCUGCAGAAGAAGCGCCGGCUAACUACGUGCCAGCAGCCGCGGUAAUACGUAGGGCGCAAGCGUUGUCCGGAAUUAUUGGGCGUAAAGAGCUCGUAGGCGGUUUGUCGCGUCUGCUGUGAAAUCCUGAGGCUCAACCUCGGGCUUGCAGUGGGUACGGGCAGACUAGAGUGCGGUAGGGGUGACUGGAAUUCCUGGUGUAGCGGUGGAAUGCGCAGAUAUCAGGAGGAACACCGAUGGCGAAGGCAGGUCACUGGGCCGCAACUGACGCUGAGGAGCGAAAGCAUGGGGAGCGAACAGGAUUAGAUACCCUGGUAGUCCAUGCCGUAAACGUUGGGCACUAGGUGUGGGGCUCAUUCCACGAGUUCCGUGCCGCAGCAAACGCAUUAAGUGCCCCGCCUGGGGAGUACGGCCGCAAGGCUAAAACUCAAAGGAAUUGACGGGGGCCCGCACAAGCGGCGGAGCAUGCGGAUUAAUUCGAUGCAACGCGAAGAACCUUACCAAGGCUUGACAUACACCGGAAAAGUGCAGAGAUGUGCUCCCCGCAAGGUCGGUGUACAGGUGGUGCAUGGUUGUCGUCAGCUCGUGUCGUGAGAUGUUGGGUUAAGUCCCGCAACGAGCGCAACCCUCGUCCUAUGUUGCCAGCACGUUAUGGUGGGGACUCAUAGGAGACUGCCGGGGUCAACUCGGAGGAAGGUGGGGAUGACGUCAAAUCAUCAUGCCCCUUAUGUCUUGGGCUUCACGCAUGCUACAAUGGCCGGUACAAAGGGCUGCGAUACCGCAAGGUGGAGCGAAUCCCAAAAAGCCGGUCUCAGUUCGGAUUGGGGUCUGCAACUCGACCCCAUGAAGUCGGAGUCGCUAGUAAUCGCAGAUCAGCAACG